AUUGAACGCUGGCGGCAGGCCUAACACAUGCAAGUCGAGCGGAGCGGCGGACGGGUGAGUAAUGCCUAGGAAUCUGCCUGGUAGUGGGGGAUAACGUCCGGAAACGGGCGCUAAUACCGCAUACUAUCAGAUGAGCCUAGGUCGGAUUAGCUAGUGGGUGGGGUAAAGGCCUACCAAGGCGACGAUCGGUAACUGGUCUGAGAGGAUGAUCAGUCACACUGGAAUGGAGUAACGUCACAGACUCGUACGGGAGGCAGCAGUGGGGAAGAUUGCACAAGGGGCGCAAGCCUGAUGCAGCCAUGCCGCGUGUAUGAAGAAGGCCUUCGUGUUGUAAAGCACUUUCAGCGGGGAGGCGUUACCCGCAGAAGAAGCACCGUCUAACUCCGUGCCAGCAGACGCGGUAAUAC
rnacentral:rRNA from 1 species